CUGGUGGAUACUGAUGACAUCCACAGUGAUCAUGAAGGUUGAGCUGGUUGAUACUGAUGACAUCCACAUUGAUCCUGAAGAGAAUGUGCACCUGGACAACGACCUGGACAGAGACCCUGAGGCAGCGUGUGACCCUAAGGCAGUGUGUGAGUCAGACUCACAAGAUAAAUAAUGUCCCAGUAAUGCUGGUAGUUCACCCUCAAAUCUGUACUACAUCCUGCAUUUUUACAUGGCAGACAAGCAUUUCCUCAGUGCAUCUGUUUUAUUUACUGUAUGUUUCUGAUUCUACA